rnacentral:misc_RNA from 1 species
UCUUUGGGGGGCAACUCCCAGAGAUAGUGGCGAACGGCUGAGUAACGCGUGAGUAACCUGACCUUGGGUGGGGGACAACGUCGAGAAAUCGGCGCUAAUACCGCGUAUCAUCGCCGGUCCCUGGACUGGUGAUGAAAGUCCGCAAGGACGCCCGAGGAGGGGCUCGCGCCCUAUCAGGUAGUUGCGCGGGGUAAUGGCCCACCAAGCCUAAGACGGGUAGCUGGUCUGAGAGGACGACCAGCCAGAGGGGGACUGAGACACCGCCCCCACUCCUACGGGAGGGAGCAGUGGG